GACGAACGCUGGCGGCGGGCUUAACACAUGCAAGUCGAACGGAAGGGCCCUGCUUUUGUGGGGUGCCCGAGUGGCGAACGGGUGAGGAACACGUGAGUAACCGACCCUUCUCUUUCGGAUGACUUCACGAAACUGGAGCUACUACCAUAUAGCAGCUGCUGCUGCAUUGAGGGGGGUGGAUAUUUUUGGCUGUUGGGGAGGGACGGGCGGCUUAUGAGCUUGUUAGUUGGCGAGUUGCUUACCAAGGCUUUGACGGAUCGGCGGCAUGAGUGGGUGGCCGGGCUCAUUGGGCCUGAGGUAGGGAGCAGACUGCAACGGGAGGCAGCAGUGGGAAAUAUUGUACAAUGGGCGGAAGCCUGAUGCAGCAACGCCGCGUGCGGAAAGACGGCCUGUGGGUUGUAAACCGCUUUAGCUUGUGACGACGCGGGAGUGACGGUACUGGGUAAAGAAGCACCGGCUAACUACGUG
rnacentral:rRNA from 1 species